UCAGUGGUAGCUCAAUGGUUAAGGCUCCAGGUUACUGAUUUGGAGGUUGGGGGUUUAAGCCCCAGCACCACCAAG